rnacentral:rRNA from 1 species
CCAAGGAGUCUAACAUGUGCGCGAGUCGUCGAGUCUAAUACUAAACUCGUACGAGGCGGAAUGAAAGUAAAGCGGCCCCGACGAGGGUGUUGCAGAGGAGAUCCCGUCUCGAAAUUUCAAAAAACAGAGCGGGCGCAUCCUCAGGGCGUCCGAAGCCGCGAACCUUUAUUGAGUCGGCCGGACGAACCCGGAGCGUACACGUUGGGACCCGAAAGAUGGUGACCUAUGCCUGGCCAGGUCGAAGCCAGGGGAAACCCUGGUGGAGGACCGCAGCGAUUCUGACGUGCAAAUCGAUCGUCGGAGUUGGGUAUAGGGGCGAAAGACUAAUCGAACCAUCUAGUAGCUGGUUCCCCCCGA